rnacentral:rRNA from 1 species
AAUAGAAGCUUGCUUCUAUUGGUUAGCGGCGGACGGGUGAGUAACACGUGGGCAACCUACCUGUAAGACUGGGAUAACUUCGGGAAACCGAAGCUAAUACCGGAUAAUUCUUCUUUACACAUGUAGAGAAGCUAAAAGACGGUUUCGGCUGUCACUUACAGAUGGGCCCGCGGCGCAUUAGCUAGUUGGUGAGGUAACGGCUCACCAAGGCAACGAUGCGUAGCCGACCUGAGAGGGUGAUCGGCCACACUGGGACUGAGACACGGCCCAGACUCCUACGGGAGGCAGCAGUAGGGAAUCUUCCGCAAUGGACGAAAGUCUGACGGAGCAACGCCGCGUGAGUGAUGAAGGUUUUCGGAUCGUAAAACUCUGUUGUUAGGGAAGAACAAGUACGAGAGUAACUGCUCGUACCUUGACGGUACCUAACCAGAAAGCCACGGCUAACUACGUGCCAGCAGCCGCGGUAAUACGUAGGUGGCAAGCGUUGUCCGGAAUUAUUGGGCGUAAAGCGCGCGCAGGUGGUUUCUUAAGUCUGAUGUGAAAGCCCACGGCUCAACCGUGGAGGGUCAUUGGAAACUGGGGAACUUGAGUGCAGGAGAGAAGAGUGGAAUUCCACGUGUAGCGGUGAAAUGCGUAGAGAUGUGGAGGAACACCAGUGGCGAAGGCGACUCUUUGGCCUGUAACUGACACUG